rfam:Mus musculus chromosome 7, GRC primary reference assembly.
UGGUGCCUAACGUGGGGCUUGAGGAUGAGGCCUUCAGUGAAGAACACUGUGGUGUUUCUGUUCAGACAAUGUUGUGUGGAAGAUGUCCUGCACAGGAGACUGCCUUCUUGACUAGGGAUCCUGGUAAUUCCUCAGUGAUCAUGGGACAGGCACUUAGUAGCCAUGAACUCUUUGGGGAAGGUUUGAAAAAGGCUUUAAUGGCACGGGGGAUAAAGUUUAAAAUACAUGACUUACUUGCAUUUUUUGAUUUUGUAAAAGAGAUUUGUCUAU